rnacentral:rRNA from 1 species
AUGGGGGCCUGCAUUCCGGUGGCAGUUGGAGGGGGUCGCGGCCACAAGGACACCCACGACGACUACUACGGCACCUCGAGGCCACGGGCUGCGGCCCCCACUGCGGAUCUGCGCGCAGAGAUGUAUGACACCGGGAGUAUCGAGGGGCCAUCUGGAUCUUUCACUGUGAACAAUGUCCAAGUGUUUGCUGGCUAUGUCCUGCAUACCGGUUCAUUUCUGGAAGGGCCUGACUCCAAGACAUUGUCUGUUGGCGAUGAAGUGAAAUACAAGGAAGUAAUUGGUGACUGUAUUGACCAGAAAGGUUCCAUUGCUCUUUCAGAGAAGCUGAGAUUUGAUUUCUCCCAUGGGAAACCUGUCCAACCAGAAGAUUUGCGAAAAAUUGAGUCUAUAGUGAAGCAGCGAAUAGAGGCUGAGCUGGAGUUAUCUGCACAAGAAAUAAAAUUAGCCAACCCAAAGCGCGUGAAUGGUCUUCGAGCUGUGUUUGGUGAAAUCUACGCUGAUCCUGUAAGAGUUGUAUCGAUUGGUCGCAAACUGGAAGAUGUGCUUGCCAACCCUGAAAGCAAAGAAUGGUUAUCUGAUAUCAAUGAAGCAACUAAACUGGACGGAGCGACAUUGGAAAAGAAAAUUGGAUCGAUCAAUAAUACACUGGAUGCAGCUGCUAUCCCAGCUGCAAGAAAAGCUGAUCUAAAAGGCAAUGUCUCAAAGUUGGAGGAUCAACUAAGGGAGGCGGAGAAGAAAACGGGCAAAGAAAAUGUCCAAAAGGCUGCCAAGACUGACAUAGAUGCUGCAGAAGCUGCUGUUUCUAAAGAAAAACUCUUCUGUGUUACUCAUGCUGAUGUGGGUCUUGAUACCACUGCUGCCCGGGAAGCAGUUGUCAAACCCAUGGACCGUUUCAAGAGCAUUGAUGCACUUCUAUAUGUGCACUAUCUCUUGACAUUACGUGGGUUUCUCAUUUCAAUAGUUAGGGAUGCAGACAAGAAACAACUUGGUACAAUCGGUGAGGAGGUGAAGCAGUUGGCUCAAAGAGCAAGGGAUAACAGAGAAGCAAACAACAGCUCUUCUACUAUUGCAAGCAUUAAAAAAUCCGCUAAUAACACUGUUCAGAUACUUGUGAAAUUUUGUGGAGCAACUAUUCCUGUUCAGGAGAACCUUGACAUAUUAAGUGCAAAUAUGCUAAUCGAGCAUGUUUGCCGGUGUGCGGGAGUUAGUCUCACUGAUCUCUAUUCGACCUUCUGUGGAAGAAUUCUGGAGCCGAAUAAAGUUUUGUCAUAUUAUCAACUCCAGAAGGAUUCUAUGGUUUAUAUUAAUCCUAGACUACGAGGUGGCAGUGCUGGUCGCAAAAACUGGGAUGAUGUAAUCAUUACUCUGAAUCUCUACCACGGUGUGGCUUUGCCAUGGGACCUACUUCUCCCCUAUCAGAGCAAGAUACGUCCAGCAAUGAAAGUGUGGUACCUGGAUCAUCCACUACAGGUUCGGUGUCAAAAGGUGCUUAUAUACCUUGGCAGAAAACAUUACGUUGGAAUUUGUUUCGGAGGCUUCACUUCCAAGCAAAUUCUCUUCGAUGCCGAUGGUAAUGUGCAUAUUGAUGCUGCUCCUCAAGAGUAUAGUCAAGGACUUGCCUUAUUUGAUUAUGGUGCAGUUUCUGGAAUAUUUGACGAUGCCUUAGGAGCUGGAAUUAACAAAUAUCCAACCUAUUUCUAUAAUCUUAUCAAUUUCCUAUCAAAUGGUCCUGCUGUUGAUUAUCGAAGUAAGGCUGUGAUUGCUUUUGUCACGAAUCACGUCUCGCUGUUAACAUAUUCUCGAAGAAUUCAGAUCACUGCAGUUCUCGAUAUGUUGCUUACAAGGCUCAGUGAAGAUGAUUCAGAGGCCUUGAUAGCUAUACUUGAAAAUUUCUAUUGGGGGAGCAGGUUGGAGAAGGUUCCUGCAAUGCACCACACGUAUUUCUUUCACUGGUGGUAUGAUAGAGCUGGGACCAUAUGUACCCCUUAUAAGGAUAAUGGAGUCAGCUUGCUCAAAUUCUCUAGCAAUUUUUUUAAGCAUCACAAUGGCUUCCCUCUAGAACAGCGGGAUGCAGCGUUUGCGUUGGCGACGAAGCAUAAAAACUAUCUACCUCAGCUACUGUUUUCCAUUCUUAUAACAUUCAAAGACCCAAAUAAGCCAUGCCCUCCAUCUGUUCAGGCUUUUAUUGAUGAAGUGAUCGAAAUGCUAGGGGAUCACACGGUCGAUUGCGAGAUUGCCCAAACUUGA